AACGAACGCUGGCGGCAUGCCUAACACAUGCAAGUCGAACGAGACAUUCGGGUCUAGUGGCGCACGGGUGCGUAACGCGUGGGAACCUGCCCUUAGGUUCGGAAUAACUCCCCGAAAGGGGUGCUAAUACCGGAUAAUGUCUUCGGACCAAAGAUUUAUCGCCUUUGGAUGGGCCCGCGUUGGAUUAGCUAGUUGGUAGGGUAAAAGCCUACCAAGGCGACGAUCCAUAGCUGGUCUGAGAGGAUGAUCAGCCACACUGGGACUGAGACACGGCCCAGACUCCUACGGGAGGCAGCAGUGUGGAAUAUUGGACAAUGGGCGAAAGCCUGAUCCAGCAAUGCCGCGUGAGUGAUGAAGGCCUUAGGGUUGUAAAGCUCUUUUACCCGGGAUGAUAAUGACAGUACCGGGAGAAUAAGCUCCGGCUAACUCCGUG
rnacentral:rRNA from 1 species